UACAGAGGUCUCAAGCGUUGUUCGGAUUCAUUGGGCGUAAAGGGUGCGUAGGCGGCGCGGUAAGUCGGGUGUGAAAUCUCGGAGCUUAACUCCGAAACUGCAUUCGAUACUGCCGUGCUUGAGGACUGGAGAGGAGACUGGAAUUUACGGUGUAGCGGUGAAAUGCGUAGAUAUCGUAAGGAAGACCAGUGGCGAAGGCGGGUCUCGUGGACAGUUC
rnacentral:rRNA from 1 species